GACGUAGGGCGCGAGCGUUGUCCGGAUUUAUUGGGCGUAAAGAGCUCGUAGGCGGCUUGUCGCGUCGUCCGUGAAAACUCACAGCUCAACUGUGAGCUUGCGGUCGAUACGGGCAGGCUAGAGUUCGGUAGGGGAGACUGGAAUUCCUGGUGUAGCGGUGAAAUGCGCAGAUAUCAGGAGGAACACCGGUGGCGAAGGCGGGUCUCUGGGCCGAUACUGACGCUGAGACGCGAAAGCGUGGGGAGCGAACAGG
rnacentral:rRNA from 1 species